CAGGUACUUGUAGAUUUCUUCACUUUCUUGUUCAACUCCCAAAUAAAUAAUCUUUUAUAACUUAGGAACUAAAUCAUCAUCUUCUGAAUCGGGAGGGAGGGAGGGAAUGUUGGACACGAGUCGGUUUCCUAUUUAUUUAGAGACUCAUAUCUCCAUUCCUAUGUCUAAGUAUGUUUAAUUCACUGUACAGCCCAAUUUUGCCUAAGGCCCAGGCUGACCCAAUAACCCACCUAAACACUAACCCAUACCAGCAGACCCAAUUACAAGGCCCAGUGGCCCAAAAUUUUAAAAUCAUUUCAGAAACCCUAAUCCCCCUAACCCUAGCCGCCUCUUCUGAUCUUUCUGCUACUGCCGCCGCCGUCACCUACCCUCUGCCACCGCCACUGCUUCGCCCACUUGCACCACCUGCUCCACCUGCAAAACAAAGGAGAACACGCAAGCAAAGAAGGACAAAACAGUAGAAAAAAAAAUAAAUUGUGUAAAAAUGACUAUAUAAAGGCCAUUCAAACGAAUUGUAAGGGGUUCCUUUUUUUACGAGAGUUUAAAAAAAAAAGCAGAUCAAAGAUUUAAAAUAAAAGGUUGAUUCAUGCGUUUCUAUUUUUCCUGUUCUUGUGUUCUUAUUUUAUUUUAUUUUUAUUUAUUUUUACUCAUUUGUAACGAAAAUAAAAAAGGGGAAAAGAGGGAAAGAAGCAUACCUGAACUGCCCGUGGCUCAGUCGACGGAGGCCCUUCCGCCGUCGUCGGAAUCGGGCCUUAAACAGGAUCUAAAGUCUCUUCAGUCCCUCGGGUUGAAGACCCAACCUUCUUGCGCUGCGAAGCCAAGGCCGAGAGGCCCAUUUCUUUCGUCGUCCGCCACUAGCCAUGGCAACGGCGCGUCGACGGUGGUGCCAUGUGACCGGCGUUUCAAAAGGGGGAGGGGAUAUCGGGUUUUUGAAAAACAGAGAGAAAAAGAAUUUUUUUUGUUUUCAACUGAAAAAAUGAAUUUUUGUAAAAAAAAUUAGUUUUAAUAAGUUAACAAAAAGGCGUCGUUUUGGUGGGGAAACCCGCGCGCGACCCGACCCGCGUCUCAGAGUCCGCGUGUUUUGGAUGAUUGGGUUAUUUACCCAUUUGGUCCUUCCGCCUUUCUGGGGUGUUUUAAUCUAGUCAUAUUUGCACUUUUAUAUUUUAGAAUUUUAGCCCAAAUUAUUUUUAGCGUUUUUGAUUUAGUCCUGCGCUUACUGAAGGGACACGUGUCCCAAUAUUCGGGAUAUUUUUCGUUUUACCCCUCGCCUUUUCAGCGCGCGUCGUAAUUUAGUCCUUCCUGUUUUUUUAUUUUGAUUUCGCCCAAUACUUUUGUUUUUAUUUCGAUUUAGUCCAUAUUUUAGCAAUAAUGUUAUUAUCAUUUAUUAUUAUUAUUAUUAUUAUUAUUAUUAUUAUUAUUAUUAUUAUUAGUUUUAUUUCCCUUUUAUUUAGUCAUUACAAUCUUAUUAAUGCCUUAGCUAGUUUUUACUGAUUUAUUAUUAUUUUAGCUUUAUUCUCAUAAUAUAUGUACAUAUACCUAUGUAUAUUUUAUGUAUAUGCGUACACAUAUAUGUUUCUAUAUUUUAUUUAUAUAUACCUAUAUACACGUCUAUACUUCAUUUUCAUAAAUACAUAUAUAUAUACACACUUACAUAAUUUUUUUAAUGUAUAAUAAUUCCGAAAUAUGUACACAUACACAUGUUUUCAUAUUCAUUAUUUUAUUUAUAUAUAUAUGUUUAUAUAUUUUUUAUAUUUGCAUCAUGUUGUUAAUUUUGUUCAUUUAUUUGCAUGUUUAUUAUUGUUUGUUCUCUUUCUUUAGUUCCUAAUUAUUUGUUACCUUGCCCGUAUGAUUAUUUCUAUUAUUUAUUGUUUUGCUUGUAUCAUUUUAUUUACAUUGUCACCCUUAUUAUUUUACAUCCAUUUUACUCGAAUUUAUUAAGAACAAAAAAUUUCAAAAUAAAAGCAACACUCGGUAUUUGGGAUCUUCAAGAGAAUCGAGCCCUAACGUAUUGGGUUUCGAUUUUCUUUGCUGAAUCUAAAUAAUCGAUGUUACUUUUUUUAAAAAAUAAAUAAAAGCUCAUUAUCAGGAAUUCAAUAUGUCGUGUCCUAACGCAUUGGAUGUGACGUGUUGUUUUUUCGAGAUGAGAAUUUUCUUAAAAACAACCAAGGCAAUGUUCAAUGUUCGAAAUGUUGAGAAAUUGUACCCUAACGUAUUGGGUUACGAUUUCCUCAUCUAACUCGAACAAUUGAAUAUCCUUUUUCAUUUUUUAUCGUAGGAGUUUUUAUAAGCAACCUAUUUUAUACAAGUCAUUUUUAAGACAAAGGAUCGUAUUUUAAAUUUCUUUAAAUUUUUUAAUUUUCGACAUUAAGACAUUAAGUAACCAACUAGGUACCAAUUUUGGGCAUAUCGAGGGUGCUAAUCCUUCCUCGUGCGUAACCGACUCCCGAACCUAUUUUUCUAAAUUUCGUGGACCAGACUCGCUGUUUUAAUAAAAUCAAACCGUUUAUUAAAAACAACNNNNNNNNNNNNNNNNNNNNNNNNNNNNNNNNNNNNNNNNNNNNNNNNNNNNNNNNNNNNNNNNNNNNNNNNNNNNNNNNNNNNNNNNNNNNNNNNNNNNCAUAAAAAAAAUGAUGUCAACAGCUUGGCGACUCCACUGGGGAAUUUAAAUAAGAGAGUCAAGCCACGAGUUGAUUACUUUUUGUCUUUUUGUCGAAAUUUGAAAACUAGAUUUAAAUAUACGACCCUCUCAUUGCAUUUCAUUUGUUUUGAGUUAUAGUUUUUCUCAUGUUUGGUAUCUUAAAUUUUUAUAUCUCUGCAUUGCAUUGCAUGACCUUUGGUCACACCCUUUUAAGUGGGAGUGAGAAGCUACUCCUUCGUGAGGUUUUCACCUCCGUGCAGGAUAGUGGAUCGCUUUCGGGAUACAUCCGUACCUAUGUCUUCGUGAGAUUUUCAUCUCCGUGCAGCCAUAGGGAAAUGUAUUCCCCUGAACCGAACUCGGUCUAUAUGAGCCUAUAAUGAGUGAAGAUCGAGGAAUUUGCUGGUUCGGGUACCCUUACUUUAGAGCCAAACCUCAUGUAGUGAACCUUAGGAGCCCACUCUAGGUAGAAUCACUUCGAACCUCUAGUAGUCACCCGAAUAGGUGUUCUAUUUAUUCUUGCUUGUUUUUGCAUUAUACUAACCUGUUUUUCUUUUAUGAUUGCAUUGCAUUAUAAAAAGAGGUGUUGAUUCACGUUCAGUUGUUAAAUAGAGAGCUUGUCAUAAGGAAAUGGGUUUCUUGAUAAAGUGGAUAAUAAUACGGUUGUUCGAAUAUGGUCCAAGAAAACGUAAUAAGAGAAGGAUGAUAGUUUAAUGGAGGACAACACAACUAUUGCUCCGUUGCCCCAAGGAUUCAAGGUGACAAAGAUUAUUCGAGAGCCGCUGAACUUUCUUAAAGAGAAGCCAAUGAGCAUCACGAGGAUAAGCGAGCAUCGAGUCGUGGCUCGGAUCAAGCAAAAGGGAGAUAGAAGAUACGUCAUUUUUCAGAGUUCGUGAGAUUCAUCUUAACGCGCGAAUGAAGAAAAGGAUCGUUCUCUUGGAACAUAAGGGCAAAGCCGUAUAUAUAUCCGCUUUAUGUAAAGAGAUUUGUUUUCUAGUAAAGUUGUUCUAAUAGAAUUGAACCAAGAAUCAACGUCUCUUUUUGCAUUCAUUUCAUGCAUCUGCAUUGCAUUUCAUUGCAUGCAUCAAAUUUCACUAAAAGACCCUAAUCAAACGAAAUCAUUUCAGAGUCAAUGGAAACCAACCUACCAAACCAACACCCUUGCGCUACCCGAACAGGAAAUAGAGAAGUGGAACAAAGGUUGGAAAAAUUAGAGCGAAUGCAGAUACAGAUACAGGAGCAAUUGACUGAAUUUCAAUAGGAGAUGAGAGAUCAGAUGCUAGAAUUACAGAGAACCAUGAUGAGCCAGUUCAACCAAUUGUUAGCUGAAGAAAAAAGGAAGGACCCGAUGGACCACUCUGGGGUUGAUAAUAAGGUUUUUGCUUAUUUCCUAGAUUGUACUUCGACAAGUGCCUAGGUCCAGCCAGAUUGGUGCCUACAAGGGGCACUCUUCACCAUCGAAUCUCAACAAUAUCAGACUGGUACAACAGCACCAGUGAAUGGCUUGACGGGCCCAAGAUCUAUUUUAAGGAACAAUUUUCUUGUUGCACGUGAUGAUCCAGUAGAAAUGAAACAGGUGAGGGCAGAGUACCCAGAUACUAUAGAGGCCCUAAGGAAGAAGGGGAAUAGGGGGAAUAAUGCGAACAGAUAUAACAAGGGCCACUCAAAACCAAUCACUGUGGGCCGGUAAAAGACAGAAACCACCAGACGUCAAAGUCCUUUAAAGCAAGAAUCUGGGGUGAAACCAGGUACCGAGAAGCUCCAGUUCACACAAAUUCCGACGUCAUAUAAAGAAUUGUAUCAGAGAUUAUUUGACGCACGUGUUGUCUCCCCUUUCUACUUGAAGCCUUUACAACCUCCGUACCCCAAAUGGUACGACACAAAUGCGCAAUGUGACUAUCAUGCGGGAAUUACGGGGCAUUCUAUAGAAAACUGCAAUGCCUUUAAAAAGUUGGUCGAAAGAUUUAUCAAUAUGGGCAUCAUCAAAUUUGAAUAUUCACUCAGUACAGAAAACUCGCUACUCAAUCAUACGAAUAAUGAAAGGAAUGCGAUGAAUGAAGAGAUGUUGGGAAACGUUCACAUCAGUGCCGAAUACGAAGAAGUAACCAGAGAAGAGAUCUUAUUAGAUGUUCACCCUUAUAAACUUGGGAGUGUUCUAAAGAAACCCCUGUAGUAUUUAGAGCUUACUCAGAGUAAUAUUCAAAACACACUUGUUGCUUUUAGCCUAAAGGCAACAAGAAGUCUUUUGUGAAAUAGGCUCAUGUCUGAACGUCAUUAUUUCAAUGGAAUGCAUCUUUGCGAUAUUUUGAACCAAUAUUCUUUCAUUUCUUGAAUGAUUAUUCUUUUAUUCUUUCAUCCAAAUCAUUCUUUCAUUCAUAAUCAUACUGUGCAGAUAAUUAUUCUUAAAUUCAUACAUUCUUUUUAUAUUCUCUUGUACCUACAAUAGGUCCCUGAAUAUCAACGACAUGAAUGACACUGCUACAAACUUAGAAUCUCCUUUUGAGCGAGACAUGUGUUUAGAGGCAUCUCACGACUUUGAAGAUGAUACAGGUUGUUGCCUAUCUUCGGACUUGUUGAGGAUGGUAGAACAAGAGGAUAAACAGAUCCUACCUCUCAAGGAAUCAUUAGAAAUUGUGAGCUUGAUGAAGACUAGAAUUGACCUGACCACAGAGAUGAAGCAAGACCUUAUUGAGUUACCNNNNNNNNNNNNNNNNNNNNNNNNNNNNNNNNNNNNNNNNNNNNNNNNNNNNNNNNNNNNNNNNNNNNNNNNNNNNNNNNNNNNNNNNNNNNNNNNNNNNAAUAAAAACUGCACAACAGCACGAUAUCAGAAAUUUACAGUGCAAACGAUGCAAUUCUUUACCGGGGCAAUGCCUCUCUCGUUGAGUCAGCAUAGCUUUGCCCAUUUGAAGUCGAGUUUCCAUCCCUUCAAGAUGUUGUUGGAUUUUAUCCUGAUUAAAGAGGAAGAUCCAAAUUUUUCUGUCAUAGUUGCGUCCCAAAAGGGCUCUAUGAAAGAAAUCUGGUACCAAAGAAGGUUUCUCACAUACAAGAUGAAAGUGGAAGAUCUUAUGUGGAAGACUUUAGAAUAACAUUGAUUCUGGUCGAAAAGCGUGACCAGGACUUGCCUGAUCUCGUGAGUUCAGACUAAAAAAAACAAAAAAUAAAAAAAUAAAAAAAAAUCAAAGUCAAAAUCAAAAUUUUUUUUUAAAAAAGGAGAGGUUAAGGCGAAAACCCGCAAAGGGCACUUUGACCAAAGGUGGAUCUGAGUUGAAAACCCGAAAAAGGGCGACUCAAAUUUUGAGCAAAAUGGGGCAUGAACAUCACCAUUAUCGAAGACUUCUAAUGGGCAUUGCUUCAUUUUUGAGAGGCUACUUCAUGGAUGAAGGUCAUCCUAUACCGAUACAGAAUUUCAGAGAGAAUGGUAUUGGAAAAUACAUUGAACUUAAAUGAUAGCACGAUAACUGAGGUCUGAAAUCAAUUCAAAAGCAAACACCACGUUUUGUCACCAAAUUACCUAGAGGUGAACAAGGACUGGUAUGAGAAAUUACCAUUUGCCCUCAUUGUUUGUCAAACAUCUGUACUGGGGCAACACCUCUCUUUUUGGUUUACAGGAUUGAGGUAGUUUUACCUAUUAAAAUCCCCUCAUUGCUUGUUGGAGGGAUCCAAUCGCGAUGUGAUCAGUUGACCCUAGGAAAAGGGUUAAAAGCUAUUCAUCAGGGUCGGAUGUACCAUAAAUAAAUAAUAUGAGCCCAUAAUAAACAGACUCGUCUCAGAGAAUUCCACGAGAGGGCUGGAUGUUGAAAAAGAUUAUUCCUUAACGAAAGGAUUUUAAAGGGAAAUGAAUGCCAAACCAGUAAUGUCCCUAUGUUGUAAAGAAGACCAUUUUCAGAGGAGCACUGAUCCUGAGUGAGAUUGUCAAUCCUAUAAACUCGAAUCCAGUUAAGAAACACUUCGUUUAAAGAAGAAGGAAGGACCAAUGUGAAAACCUGCAAAAUGCACUUUGAGUCAAACAAAAUAUAUAUAUAUAAAAAUGAAUGAAAGAAAAAAUGAAAAAUGAAAAAAAUGAAAAAGUAAAAAUGGAGAGGCUAAGGGGAAAACCCACAAAGGGCACCUUAGGCCAAAGGGGAUUUGAGUUGAAAACCCGAAGGGCGGCUCAAAUAUUGAUCAGAAUGGGGCAUGAAGUGAUCAGAUUGGGGCAUGUGGUGAUCUUGCUAUACCUGAAAGGGUAAGGCGACAUCUUGGGGCAUCGACAGAGUCUUGUAGAUCUCCUAAACACAUGUCAAACUCAGGAAAGUCUUCAGAAAGUUUGUACAGAGAAGUUCAAGCUGCGAUAUCUGGGGCACCUAACCUUCAUACUAUUUAUAUAUUGAAUUUGUUGUUGUUCUUGGAAUACUUCAUUCUUUUUCAAGAUACGUGUUCCAAUCAAUUCCUCUUUUAUUCUUGCUACCCUUGAUAAUUCAUUCAUUCCGAGCUUUCUCUCAAAUCAAUUCUAUUUCAUCCAUUGUUAUAUUCUUUUUUGCAAACAUGUUGCAUUGGAAUAAUGAUUAAUGGACUAAUAAAACUUUCACAAAGGAAUUUUUGCAUAUUACUCUGAAAAGUUUCUAAAUAAUAUAGGAACCUGAAACAGGAUUAUUGUUUAGAAAACACCAAGUUUAAAGGGUGAAAUAUCUAAGAAGGAAGAGUCUAAGUUAAAGGUUGUCUUUUCAGAUUUUGUUGUCCAAACAUUGAUUGAACAAAAUAGCAAGAUGCCGUGUUGGUGACAAAGCUUCAAUGAACAAACAAGCAAUGAUCACCAAGUGAUAAGAAAAGGUUUUCUCGGAGAAGAAAAUUUUGCGAUUGUACAUGAGCAUUUGGUAUAACACCUUGGGAAUGGGGUAAAAGAACCAAAAAAAAAAAAACUUCACAUUUUGUAUCCUUGAAUUGCGAUAGGAGAAGAUUGAGAAAAGCCAUAUCUUUCUACCCUUAGGUUACAGUGGGAGAUUGAUGGUACAAAUUUUAUGUCCCAGUGGAUUGAACUUUGACGUUCACAGUGGGGGGCAAUCAGAUUAAGUGUUUCUUUGGAUAUGCCAGCUGAGCAAGAAGGCGUUGUAACACGUCAGUGAUAAAGAUUUAAUAAGCUUUUGCGUGAUGAUAACCUAAGCAUUAAGGAAUCAUUUUCAUGACAUUUUGCAUUCAUUCAAAUGUCAUUCAUACACAUAUAAUUAGGAGCAUUUGAUUCUUUCAGAUCAUGUCAUUCUAAUCACUAAGCACAAUUAGGUUCAUAAAAUAGAACAUACAGGUCAUGUUCCCCAGAGAACAGAUCAAUGAAGUUGCAGAUCUUGCCUUCCUGCAUUGACAGCGAAGCAGGUCGAAGACACAAACUUGCCUCUCUCGGUUGUGAUGGAGCUGGUUGAAGACAAAAGAUCUUGCCUUUUCUGUAUUGACAGUGAAGCAGGUCGAAGACACAAACCUUGCCUCUCUCGGUUGUGAUGGAGCUGGUUGAAGACAAAAGAUCUUGCCUUCCUGUAUGGAUAGCGAAGCAGUCGAAGACACAAACCUUGCCUCUCUCGGUUGUGAUGGAGCUGGUUGAGACAAAGAUCUUGCCUUCCUGUAUUGACAGCGAAACAGGUCGAAGACACAAACCUUGCCUCUCUCGGUUGUGAUGGAGCUGGUUGAAGACAAAAGAUCUUGCCUUCCUGCAUUGACAGCGAAGCAGGUCGAAGACACAAACCUUGCCUCUCUCGGUUGUGAUGGAGCUGGUUGAAGACAAAAGAUCUUGCCUUCCUGUAUGGAUAGCGAAGCAGGUCGAAGACACAAACCUUGCCUCUCUCGGUUGUGAAUGGAGCUGGUUGAAGACAAAAGAUCUUGCCUUCCUGCAUUGACAGCGAAGCAGGUCGAAGACACAAACCUUGCCGCUCUCGGUUGUGAUGGAGCUGGUUGAAGAUAAAAGAUCUUGCCUUCCUACAUUGACAGCGAAGCAGGUCGAAGACACAAACCUUGCCUCUCUCGGUUGUGAUGGAGCUGGUUGAAGAUAAAAGAUCUUGCCUUCCUGCAUUGACAGCGAAACAGGUCGAAGACACAAACCUUGCCUCUCUCGGUUGUGAUGGAGCUGGUUGAAGACAAAAGAUCUUGCCUUCCUACAUUAACAGCGAAGCAGGUCAAAUACACAAACCUUGCCUCUCUCGGUUGUGGUGGAGCUGGUUGAAGAUAAAAGAUCUUGCUUUCCUGCAUUGACAGCGAAGCAGGUCGAAGACACAAGCGUUGCCUCUCUCGGUUCUAGUGGAGUAGGUUAAAGAUUGCAUAUUCUGUCACCCUAUGCAGUAGUGGAGCAGAUCAAAGAUGGUGAAUCUUAUCUUCCCAGUACAGUGGAGAAGCAGAUUUAAGCCAUUAGUCCUAUCACCCUAAGCAGUAGUGGAGUAGGUUAAAUAUUGCAGAUUCUGUCACCCUAAGCAGUAGUGGAGCAGAUCGAAGAUGGUGAAUCUUAUCUUCCCAAUACAGUGGAGAAGCAGAUUUAAGCCAUUAGUCCUAUCACCCUAAGCAGUAGUGGAGUAGGUUGAAGAUUGCAGAUUCUGUCACCCUAUGCAGUAGUGGAACAGAUCAAAGAUGGUGAAUCUUAUCUUCUCAGUACAGUGGAGAAGCAGAUUUAAGCCGUUAGUCCUAUCACCCUAAGCAGUAGUGGAGUAGGUUGAAGAUUGCAGAUUCUGUCACCCUAAGCAGUAGUGGAGCAGAUCGAAGAUGGUGAAUCUUAUCUUCCCAAUACAGUGGAGAAGCAGAUUUAAGCCAUUAGUCCUAUCACCCUAAGCAGUAGUGGAGUAGGUUGAAGAUUGCAGAUUCUGUCACCCUAAGCAGUAGUGGAACAGAUCGAAGAUGGUGAAUCUUAUCUUCCCAAUACAGUGGAGAAGCAGAUUUAAGCCGUUAGUCUUAUCACCCUAAGCAGUAGUGGAGUAGGUCGAAGAUUGCAGAUUCUGUCACCCUAAGCAGUAGUGGAGAAGAUCGAAGAUGGUGAAUCUUAUCUUCCUAAUACAGUGGAGAAGUAGAUUUAAGUCAUUAUUCCAUCCCUUGCCAGCAAUGGAAUAGAUUGAAGAUUGCAGAUUCUGUUCCCUUAAAUAGUAGUGGAGCAGAUCAAAGAUGCUGAAUCUUAUCUUCCCAAGAUAGUAGAGAAAUAAAUUUAAACCACGAAUCUCUUUCCCCUAAAAUUGCUGCGAAGAAGAUUGAAGCUACAAGUCAGAUCUCUCUGAAGUGCAAUAGAGUGGAUCAAAGCAACAAGACAUAGUGGACUGAAUGAGGCUACUUGAAGAAGAGAAGCGUCAAAAGAAGUCAAGACUCGGCGAGACCGGGCAAAAUUGGUCUUUCUUUGUCUUUUCUCUGUUCUUGUUACACGACAACGAGCAAAGAGGGGCAGUUGUACAGCCCAAUUUUGCCUAAGGCCCAGGCUGACCCAAUAACCCACCUAAACACUAACCCAUACUAGCAGACCCAAUUACAAGGCCCAGUGGCCCAAAAUUUUAAAAUCAUUUCAAAAACCCUAAUCCCCCUAACCCUAGCCGCCUCUUCUGAUCUUUUUGCUACUGCCGCCGCUGUCACCUACCCUCUGCCACCGCAACUGUUUCGCCCACUUGCACCACCUGCUCCACCUGCAA
rnacentral:lncRNA from 1 species